AUUGAACGCUGGCGGCAGGCCUAACACAUGCAAGUCGAACGGUAACAGGAAACAGCUUGCUGUUUCGCUGACGAGUGGCGGACGGGUGAGUAAUGUCUGGGAAACUGCCUGAUGGAGGGGGAUAACUACUGGAAACGGUAGCUAAUACCGCAUAACGUCGCAAGACCAAAGAGGGGGACCUUCGGGCCUCUUGCCAUCGGAUGUGCCCAGAUGGGAUUAGCUAGUAGGUGGGGUAAUGGCUCACCUAGGCGACGAUCCCUAGCUGGUCUGAGAGGAUGACCGGCCACACUGGAACUGAGACACGGUCCAGACUCCUACGGGAGGCAGCAGUGGGGAAUAUUGCACAAUGGGCGCAAGCCUGAUGCAGCCAUGCCGCGUGUAUGAAGAAGGCCUUCGGGUUGUAAAGUACUUUCAGCGGGGAGGAAGGGAGUAAAGUUAAUACCUUUGCUCAUUGACGUUACCCGCAGAAGAAGCACCGGCUAACUCCGUG
rnacentral:rRNA from 1 species